AUUUUUUGGUUGCAUGAUCGGGCAAGGAAAUAUUUAUAGCUGUAAGAUAGGCAUGCGUCCCAUUAGCUGGUUGGUGAGGUAACGGCUCACCAAGGCAACGAUGGGUAGGGGAACUGAGAGGUUUAUCCCCCACACUGGUACUGAGACACGGACCAGACUCCUACGGGAGGCAGCAGUGAGGAAUAUUGGUCAAUGGGCGAGAGCCUGA
rnacentral:rRNA from 1 species